rnacentral:rRNA from 1 species
GACGAACGCUGGCGGCGUGCCUAACACAUGCAAGUCGAGCGGAGACAUUGACUUCGGUUAAUGUUUUAGCGGCGGACGGGUGAGUAACGCGUGAGCAACCUUUCUCUCAGCGGGGAAUAACACAGGGAAACUUGUACUAAUACCGCAUAAGACCACAGAGGGGCAUCCUUCAGGGGUCAAAGAUUUAUCACUGAGAGGUGGGCUCGCGUCUGAUUAGCUAGUUGGUGGGGUAACGGCCCACCAAGGCGACGAUCAGUAGCCGGACUGAGAGGUUGAUCGGCCACAUUGGGACUGAGACACGGCCCAGACUCCUACGGGAGGCAGCAGUGGGGGAUAUUGCACAAUGGGCGAAAGCCUGAUGCAGCGACGCCGCGUGAGGGAAGAAGUAUUUCGGUAUGUAAAGCUCUAUCAGCAGGGAAGAAAAUGACGGUACCUGACUAAGAAGCUCCGGCUAAAUACGUG